CUUCUGGGCAGAUGGGUUGGCCGCGCGGCGUUUCAAGCGGCGCGGCGGAUUCAGGUCAGCACGCGGUGCCGCCACGCGGGCAGGC
rnacentral:tRNA from 3 species